GAUGAACGCUGGCGGCGUGCCUAAUACAUGCAAGUCGAGCGAACAGACGAGGAGCUUGCUCCUCUGACGUUAGCGGCGGACGGGUGAGUAACACGUGGAUAACCUACCUAUAAGACUGGGAUAACUUCGGGAAACCGGAGCUAAUACCGGAUAAUAUAUUGAACCGCAUGGUUCAAUAGUGAAAGACGGUUUUGCUGUCACUUAUAGAUGGAUCCGCGCCGCAUUAGCUAGUUGGUAGGUAACGGCUUACCAAGGCAACGAUGCGUAGCCGACCUGAGAGGGUGAUCGGCCACACUGGAACUGAGACACGGUCCAGACUCCUACGGGAGGCAGCAGUAGGGAAUCUUCCGCAAUGGGCGAAAGCCUGACGGAGCAACGCCGCGUGAGUGAUGAAGGUCUUCGGAUCGUAAAACUCUGUUAUUAGGGAAGAACAAAUGUGUAAGUAACUAUGCACGUCUUGACGGUACCUAAUGAGAAAGCCACGGCUAACUACGUG
rnacentral:rRNA from 1 species